rnacentral:rRNA from 1 species
CCCUUCGAUGUUCUGGGCCGCACGCGCGCUACAAUGGUCUUCGCAAACGGAUGCAUUCUCGAAGGAGAAUGCCAAUCUUGGAAUCUAUGCCUUGGUCGGGACAGUUGCUUGCAAUUUUUCGACUCGAACCAGGAAUUCCUUGUAAUCGUGAUUCAUCACAUCACGAUGAAUACGUCCCUGCCCUUUGUACACACCGCCCGUCGCUCCUACCGAUCGAAGAGUUAGGUGAAUUGUUUUGAUCGAUAAGAUUUGACUAUGGUCAACUCUCGUUGUGAAAUUCUGUGAAUCUGACUGUUUAGAGGAAGGAAAAGUCGUAACA